CUAUGGGAAUGGCACGGAGACCUCUCGGUCCCUGUGCAAUCUAAGCCGUAGCAAUACCGAGAGUGAGGGCUCUGGCUACAAGGCUGUUGGUGCAGCCCCGCGCGCCGUGGGCCAGCUCUCGCCCCGCCGGCAGCCUCCCCAGCGAUGUCACCGCGGAGCGGGGGGCAAGCUGUCCUCAUGCCUGGAGCCCCCUGCCUACAGCCAGGACAAGCUGUAGAAAUCAGAACAGCAAAGUGCAUUAAUCACCAGCAAUACUGCAGUAAGCAAAGACAGCUUGAGUCAAUAAACGAGCCCAGACUGAAUGACCAUGAACAACAAAUGCUUCUUCCAAGCAGCCAAACUGAAGAUCAUGAGGAAACUGUAAAAUGAGACAUGUGCAUCAUGUAAAUCUCUCCUCUCUCCCUCCUCCCCUAAGAGGGAAUGUUUUGACACUGAACUGUGGAAUUCUCCAGAGACAUGAUAAAGGAAAAAUAACAACAGCUACCAGCCAAGCAAUGCCAUGCAUGACAAAAAACAGAUGAGGAAGUCACUGGGUAAAACAACACAAGCAAACAUGGCACAACCAUCAAAACUACAACUGUGGUGGAAACAGUAGUACUCAGCUCCUGCUGCAACCCUUCUUGUCUAACCGCAUACAGACAGGGUAGCAAGUGCCAUGCCAGAGUAGAUCAACCAGCCCAGAGAUCUGUCCUACCAAUGGCAACCUACGUGCAGCUGCUCCAUGGACAAUGAGAUACUAAACACACUUCACACGACACACAAGAUAGUAAACCCACUUCAGGAAAUUUUCUCCUUUCCAGAAGCUAGUUAACACCAUGUAUUUAUGUCUCUCUUGUUAUUCUUCCCUCCAUCCCAUUUUUCUGGGCUUAAUCAAAGGGUAGGAUAGCCUAAAGAAGUGCUUACAAAACCCACUCUGUAGGAUAACUGCCAGUAGAUGGAAAACUCCUACUCCAGCCCUAAUGUCCCUUGAAGACUUCUUGGAUGUGUGUUCAAGUGAGAAACCCUACACAGCUGGAUGUCAGGAUGCACAGGGAGGUUUCAUUCCCCCUGUGCUUCUCAAAUCCUGCCUCUGCACAGCAAGACUGCACCUGUCCCAACGCAAUAGCCCUGGCGCCUUCAAUUAAUGCUGAGAAAAUCCUGAGCUAAGUGCCUACUUAAAUUUGAUGGGUUUGCCAUUCAAAUCAUGGUCUGUCAGCCUAAUAAAAGCACCAGUUAGUAAACAACAUUAGUGAACAAACACCAGCAGAAUUAUGAGCAACUGCAAGCUGCAAUUAAUUUGACUUUAGCCACCAUGCCCACACCACCAGUGAUGCUAGUGCUGUAGUUUUAUUUCAGAUCAGUGAAAACAACAAAUAAACAUUUCCAUCACCUCUCCGAAGAAGAGGAAUCAAAAUGACCCAGUGCUGCUAGAGAAACGUACAGUGGAACAGAUGUAAACUACUUCACAGCCCUGAGGAAAAUGGAAUUCCUUCACUGAAGUGUAGCUCGAGCUAAACUAAUCCGAGGUGCAUAUCUAGUUCUUGCAGAGCUUUGAGUAGUCAUCAAUCUUCCUGCAUUCACCAAGUGAUUUGUUAAUCUGCAGUUUUCAUAGCAUAAUAAAGAACAUUUGGAUUAACCAGCUAUUGUCAUAACAGCCUGAUGAGCUUCUUAAAGUCUCUUGGUAACUUACUGGGUAUGACAGAGUAUACAGUGCAGUGAAACAAACUGGGCAGUAUGGAUUACAUCGUGUUCUGCCAUCUGGAAAACAUUACAAGACAAUCACUAAUACUGUGAAGCCUCCUGAAUCUGUUCUUCAUUUAUAAUGUAACCCUUUGAACUCCAGAAAGAGCAUCUGAAGAGUGAUUUGUAAAAUACGUUACUGAAAUCCUAAGGAGGAUCUUGUUUUAAAUAAAAACCAUAUCUAAGUACAAAUUUGAAUUUCAGUUUACAACCUUAGCCAAUUAUAUACCAAUGCAAAUCUCCACUGAUGAACUGUCUUGCCGAAUCCAUUCUUGUGGUGGAUUAGUUAUUCCAGAGAAACCACACUGGAAUACAGCUCUCCAGAAUCAGCAAGGUGAUUUAAGAUGCCCCAGUGACUGGUUAGCAACUUCUAUUAGUUAUGCAGUGAGAUUCAAAAGUGUGAUGGCAUUUGACAGCAACACAAAAAUUUAAGGUCACUGCCCCAAAUAAACUCAGUGAGUGGGUGGGAGAGGCUGGCAGCGGACAGAGCCCCUGCAGUCACAGAGUAUAUAGGUUAUUCCUGUGCUAUAUGUCAUUCCUGUGCUGGUAGGGGCAGAAAAAACUGCUCAUGAUCAGCUGCUGAAGAGAAAUGCUGCCCAAAGAAUGCACUGGAGAACAACUCAGCAGACAAACAUUGUGUUUUGUAUAGUCACAGUUGCCUUUAGUAUCUCCCGCUUUUCCCAUCAGGAAUGCCCAGCAUCCCAUGUUAUUUCUGGCCCAUGGUGCGUGUGCUGCAGGACUCACUCCCGCUGUAAGAGCAGUCAGACAUGCUCCUUGUCAGCAAGGGACCAGCACCACCUCUGACAUGUGAAGCAAAGUUUAUACAACAGCACUUAGAUCCAUUUCUUUGAUUUUUUUGCUCCAUGGCUGAAAGCCAACAAGGGUCAACACCACGCAGCAGUUUAGUUUCACAGUGAAUCCCCUGUACCGAUAGCCCUGGGCUGACAUACCCCACUGUGCUCCCUGAGAUACUUUUUUUCCCAGGAAGACAAAGCCAAGCCCUUGACAGGACAACCUGCCAAGAGCUCAGCAAAUGAAACCUCUCAACUGGCUUUCCCUGGCCACUCCCAUUUUACUUUCAAGACUUCAGUACGCCUAAGGAGAUAUGCAACAGGGUUAUUAUCCACAGCUCAGGAAAACAUAUUUAUGUAUGUGUAUAUAUACAUAAAUUUGCAUACAUACACACAGAGUCUCUAUACAAAGUCAUGCUCAUACAACAUUCUCAACUCUUCCACAAUCCCCAACUCUCCAAACAAUCAGGUCUGGCUAGCAUCAUCACAGAUUUAUUACAAAUGUGGUAAAAACUAUAGGAGUGCCUUAUAGAAGUUGCUGAUAAAGUUAGAUCAUGUCACAGGCCAUGCAAUAAUCUGAAAUCUCAACCGAUAGAAAAGCCAAAGCACUGGGGGAUUUUUGGAACAGUUCAGGUCUGUUUGUUUUUAAAAUCAUGCCCUGAAAACAUAAACACAGUUUCCAUCAUAUCAAUGCUUUGACCCAGACUGCCUCAGAAAUGUGGUAAGAAACUGAAGGUCCUUUUGGACAAUAGCUUAUCAUAGACAUCAUCAUCCUAACAGCAUUGUUACACAAUUCCCUGGUUAAAGGAGCACAGGUGUUUCUGGAGGAUACAACAGCUGUUUGAGAGACCACAAUGGAGUAUUUAUAUGUUGGGAAAGGUUAGCGAUAUUAACAGCUAAAAUUGUGAAUUAUCUCUAAAAUAGGAGUUCCUUAAAUAAACUGUAUAGAGGUGCACAAACGCACAUACACAUUCCAAAAAGCACAUGUACACAAAAAUACUGAUAUAUUAUGUACAUCUUUAUUACUAACGUUGAGAUAGAUACUUUCUAUUCCACCUGUGUGAUAUGCUACACGAGACAGUUAUUCCCUCUGAUUUUGUUAUCAGAUCACAUAACAGGAACCUUUGUAUUAUUUUUGUAUGUGUUAGUGAACACCACUUUAUGACCUGGCUCUUAGUUUUAUUAUCCACUUAAAUACCUAUCAUGUACUAUUCUUGGAAACAAAACCAAGAAUACUUCAAAUUCUUUGAAUAAAGUCUAUUAAAACUACUUAAAGCCACGAUAUGAAGAAAACGUAAGAAUUUUUAUAGUCUAGCUUUAAAACCAUAUGUUUAGCUCAGCUAAUAAAUCUGUUCAUGUAAACUCUGCAGCAUUCAAAUAAAUGUUUAAAUGCUCAAGCUGCUAAAAAUCAGAUAGAGUUUCUAGUUCUCCAGUUAUUUAAUCCAAGCUAUUGAAAAGGACAUUAUAGAAUUUAAAGUGUCUGCUUUAAAAUGAGACAAAACUGGUAAGAUAUUUUAAAACAGGCAUAUUUAAACAAAAUAGUCCUUUAGCCACCUUGAAAAAAUCCACUUUAAGAUUAGCUAGAAGUAUAAUUAACAGUUCUACUACAUUUGCAUCAUAGCCAUAAAAUUCUCCUUUUCAUUUCAGUACUCUUCAGUCAGUUUUAAAGGUAACUGCUGUGCUGAUCUCCAGCUUACAAUGAACAGAGAAGUGCUAGUAAAUCAAAAGCUGUCCAAACCUCCUACUGUGGAUUAAUGUAUACAUAAUGGCUGCUUGCCCAUGACUGGAAAAACCUUCUGAUAGUUUAUUGCUGUCAGAUGCUUCAUUUCCAAUGGCCAAAACACAAUGUAAGAUUUCAGAGGACAAAUUCUUCAGGCUCCAUAUCAAGCACAGAAGUACGUGAACACCAUUAAAACCCACUAAUUUUUAUAAGAUGCUUUUGUCAAGCAUGUGUUUGACUAAUUCACAAUAACUAUGUUCAUUUACAAAAGCAAAUAUAGAGAAACAAUUGGUUUUGAAAGCUAAACAGCAGUAGAAGAUGCAGACAAAGAUGAUGGCAUCAGAAGUUCUGCAGGUACUGUUAGUGUAGCAUUUCUAAUAUUGGACUAAGUCACCAGCUGGAGAAAAGAAAAUCUAUUAAUAUAAUUAGCCUUAUAAAAAACCCAAUUGUCUAGGUGAACAUCCUGUCCAUAUUUAAGUCUUAAAAUACAACAUUUGAUUUCUGAAAGAAUAAGGGGUCUGUGUAUUUCUUUACGGGAUGUAAAAUGCUCACAUAAA